rnacentral:misc_RNA from 1 species
AACUUUCAGCAACGGAUCACUUGGCUCUCGCAUCGAUGAAGAACGCAGCGAAAUGCGAUAAGUAAUGUGAAUUGCAGAAUUCAGUGAAUCAUCUAAUCUUUGAACGCACCUUGCGCCCCUUGGCUAUUCCGAGGGUCAUGCCUGUUUGAGUAUCAUGAACACCUCAACUCUCAUGGUUUGCUGGGAUGAGCGUGGACUCUGGGGGUUUUGCUGGCCUGUGGUCAGCUCCCCUCAAAUGAAUCAGCCUCCCAGUGUUUGGUGGCAUCACGGGUGUGAUAAAUAUCUCUGCUCGCGGUUGUCUGCCAGGUAACCUUUGGUGACAAAGGUUUGCUGGAGCUCACAGAUGUCUCUCCUCAGCGAGGACAGCUUUUUGAACGUUCGAUCUCAAAUCAGGUAGGACUACCCGCUGAACUUAAGCAUAUCAAUAAGCGGAGGC